rnacentral:tRNA from 1 species
GGGAAUGUGGCUUAGUGGUAGAGUGCUUGCCUAGCACACAUGAAGCCCUGGGUUCAAUUCCUCAGUACCA